CGAAGGGGCUAGCGUUGCUCGGAAUGACUGGGCGUAAAGGGCGCGUAGGCGGACAUAUUAGUCAGGCGUGAAAUUCCUGGGCUUAACCUGGGGGCUGCGUUUGAUACGGUGUGUCUUGAGUGGGGAAGAGGGUCGUGGAAUUCCCAGUGUAGAGGUGAAAUUCGUAGAUAUUGGGAAGAACACCGGUGGCGAAGGCGGCGACCUGGUCCUUGACUGACGCUGAGGCGCGAAAGCGUGGGGAGCAAACAGGAUU
rnacentral:rRNA from 1 species